ACCCCCUACCCAGCAGCAGCCAGGGAAGCCCACCACAUCAUUACAUUAGUUUUGUCUCAACCGUACGGAUGGCCCAGGACCUGUGUGAGAGUAUUUACGGCCAGUUCAUGGAGCUGUCACUUACCCAGUCUGGCGAUUGCUGCAUUGAACAUAUAUGCAACCGCUGCUGCAGCCAAGAGGCCCAGCCAUGCAUGCAGAAUCCCACCUGCCAUUUGUAAAGGAGGGCGUGUGUGUUUAUGUGCAUGCACGUAAAACUGGAUGCUGUGCAUGUGUGAACUGGAUCAAAAUGCCUUCCUGAUUCAGGGAUACUGAGGUGUGUGCGCCGCUCCCUGCAUCUCCAUUUGUCUUACGAAGACGACUGCUGUGUGAUGAUAUAUCGGCUGCUGGAUUCUGCACGUAUGUGUCUGUAUAUGUGCAAGAAAAAGCGAACGAAUGGGUCUUGAUUACAUUUGCAAGGCAUGAGCUGAAGUGAAGGUCUGAAUGAGAUUCUCGGUGCUCAGCGUUAAUGUCAUAGGAGCCUGAUGAUUCUCUGAAUGCAAGAGGAGCAUUUUCUUUUACGCCAGUUGAUGGACUGGAGUCAUGUAUACCAGCUGUUUGGGCUUGUUCUGACGGCACCCAUUCACUGCAGAGGAUCCAUUGGUGAGCAAGUGAUAUAAUGCUACAUUUCCUCAAAACUGUUCCAAUGAAGAAAUGCUCAUCUACAGCUUGGAUAUCAGGUGCUGUUUAUGAGGGGGAGGUGUGCUGACGUUGACCCAGAAGUGAAGUGAUGUGUGGAGGACAGACAGCAGUAACAGCAAGAGAGAACAGGUUGCUUAACAGGUAUUAAAGUCAUUUUGUGACUGACACGACUAAUUCAGUAUUCCGCAAGCUGGCUGUUGAUUGGUUCCCCUCAGGCCUGCCACAGACAGCAUCAGGAUACAGAACUGUUUCCCAUUCAUGGUACUCUCUGUUGAUACAGGGCUGGAUUAGCAGUGUUGACAGAUGGUGGAAAACAGCAAGUGCUGAGGAGAGAUAUUCAAAUCUGAUCUUGGAGAAUGUGAGGAGGGUUUCUGGCCAGAGCAAAGCCUCUUGCAGAGAGAAAGAUAAAGAGCAGAAGGGGAAAAACUGAGGUUGGGAGAGCCACCUGAAUUGUAUUCCAGCUCGUUAUGGUGUGGGUUGAGCACUAUUUAAAAGAUCCAGAAACCUCCAAACACACAGAGAGAGAGA